rnacentral:rRNA from 1 species
GCUUGCGGCAGCUACACAUGCAGUCGAGCGGUAACAGGAGAAAGCUUGCUUUCUUGCUGACGAGCGGCGGACGGGUGAGUAAUGUAUGGGGAUCUGCCCGAUAGAGGGGGAUAACUACUGGAAACGGUGGCUAAUACCGCAUAAUGUCUACGGACCAAAGCAGGGGCUCUUCGGACCUUGCACUAUCGGAUGAACCCAUAUGGGAUUAGCUAGUAGGUGGGGUAAAGGCUCACCUAGGCGACGAUCUCUAGCUGGUCUGAGAGGAUGAUCAGCCACACUGGGACUGAGACACGGCCCAGACUCCUACGGGAGGCAGCAGUGGGGAAUAUUGCACAAUGGGCGCAAGCCUGAUGCAGCCAUGCCGCGUGUAUGAAGAAGGCCUUAGGGUUGUAAAGUACUUUCAGCGGGGAGGAAGGUGAUAAGGUUAAUACCCUUAUCAAUUGACGUUACCCGCAGAAGAAGCACCGGCUAACUCCGUGCCAGCAGCCGCGGUAAUACGGAGGGUGCAAGCGUUUAUCGGAAUUACUGGGCGUAAAGCGCACGCAGGCGGUCUA